AGAGCAUGCUGUUUGAUUACAUCCUAAACUGUAUCUGUGAAAAGAGAGCUGGGAGCCAUAACACAGCAGAUGUACACAAGGUGACCAAGAUCAGUAUCUAAGCCACUAUCAGGAGACUCAACAAUACAUUUUCCAGUGUCUAAGACAAUAAGUUUAAGAUGUCGUGAAGAAAGGUGUUCCACUCUUGUAAAAGGAGCAAGCAGUCUUUACCCUCAGGACUAAAAGUCAGAAGUCACAAUCACCUGCAGGGCAGUAUCCUGACAACUACGGCUAUAGGUGAGUAUUCUAGCUGCAAGGGGAAGGUGCAU
rnacentral:lncRNA from 1 species